rnacentral:rRNA from 1 species
CCCUUAGAUGUUCUGGGCCGCACGCGCGCUACACUGACGAAUGCAACGAGCUUAUAACCUUGGCCGAAAGGUCUGGGUAAUCUCCAAAUUUCGUCGUGAUGGGGAUAGAUUAUUGCAAUUAUUAAUCUUCAACGAGGAAUGCCUAGUAAACGCAAGUCAUCAGCUUGCAUUGAUUACGUCCCUGCCCUUUGUACACACCGCCCGUCGCACCUACCGAUUGAAUGGUCCGGUGAAAUCUCGGGACGGCGGCUUGGUCGCUUGCGUCCGACUGCUGAAACUUGAUUAAACCAUAUCAUUUAGAGGAAGGUGAANUCGUANCA